rnacentral:ncRNA from 1 species
AGGAGCCGUAUGAGGUGAAAAUUUAAUGUACGGUUUUGUAGAGUGACAGUAAGGAUGAUUUAUCUUUCAACUUUUU